rnacentral:misc_RNA from 1 species
CUGCUCACUACAGGUACUGAGGGGGAAGUGUGGAGGCUUGAUUUUCACAACUUAGUGAUUUAUGGUUAGGAAAAUUUUAAGGGUUUUGUUUUACUUUUUGAAGUGUUUUGGGGUUGGUGGUUUGAAGGGGAAAAGGGUCUGUAUGUUGAAGAAAGACCCAUUGUAUGGGAUGAAUAAGGAAGGUUAGAUUUGGCUGUGUGUGAAAAACAUUACUGGUUUUUGUUUGUUGUUUUAUUUUUUUGCUGAAUCUGUGUCAUCGUUUUUAUCGGUGAGAAAGAAAGAGGG